rnacentral:rRNA from 1 species
GACGAACGCUGGCGGCGUGCUUAACACAUGCAAGUCGAACGGAAAGGCCCUGCUUUUGUGGGGUGCUCGAGUGGCGAACGGGUGAGUAACACGUGAGUAACCUGCCCUUGACUUUGGGAUAACUUCAGGAAACUGGGGCUAAUACCGGAUAGGAGCUCCUGCUGCAUGGUGGGGGUUGGAAAGUUUCGGCGGUUGGGGAUGGACUCGCGGCUUAUCAGCUUGUUGGUGGGGUAGUGGCUUACCAAGGCUUUGACGGGUAGGCGGCCUGAGAGGGUGACCGGCCACAUUGGGACUGAGAGACGGACCAGACUCCUACGGGAGGCAGCAGUGGGGAAUAUUGCACAAUGGGCGGAAGCCUGAUGCAGCAACGCCGCGUGCGGGAUGACGGCCUUCGGGUUGUAAACCGCUUUCGCCUGUGACGAAGCGUGAGUGACGGUAAUGGGUAAAGAAGCACCGGCUAACUACGUG